rnacentral:tRNA from 1 species
UCCCGAGUGGUGAAAUGGCAUCACGACAGGUUCUGGCCCUGUUAUUCUAGGUUCGAAUCCUAGCUCGGGAG